CUCAGGAUGAACGCUGGCGGCGUGCCUAAUACAUGCAAGUCGAGCGAAUGGAUUAAGAGCUUGCUCUUAUGAAGUUAGCGGCGGACGGGUGAGUAACACGUGGGUAACCUGCCCAUAAGACUGGGAUAACUCCGGGAAACCGGGGCUAAUACCGGAUAACAUUUUGAACUGCAUGGUUCGAAAUUGAAAGGCGGCUUCGGCUGUCACUUAUGGAUGGACCCGCGUCGCAUUAGCUAGUUGGUGAGGUAACGGCUCACCAAGGCAACGAUGCGUAGCCGACCUGAGAGGGUGAUCGGCCACACUGGGACUGAGACACGGCCCAGACUCCUACGGGAGGCAGCAGUAGGGAAUCUUCCGCAAUGGACGAAAGUCUGACGGAGCAACGCCGCGUGAGUGAUGAAGGCUUUCGGGUCGUAAAACUCUGUUGUUAGGGAAGAACAAGUGCUAGUUGAAUAAGCUGGCACCUUGACGGUACCUAACCAGAAAGCCACGGCUAACUACGUGCCAGCAGCCGCGGUAAUACGUAGGUGGCAAGCGUUAUCCGGAAUUAUUGGGCGUAAAGCGCGCGCAGGUGGUUUCUUAAGUCUGAUGUGAAAGCCCACGGGCUCAACCGUGGAGGGUCAUUGGAAACUGGGAGACUUGAGUGCAGAAGAGGAAAGUGGAAUUCCAUGUGUAGCGGUGAAAUGCGUAGAGAUAUGGAGGAACACCAGUGGCGAAGGCGACUUUCUGGGUCUGUAACUGACACUGAGGCGCGAAAGCGUGGGGAGCA
rnacentral:rRNA from 2 species